rnacentral:rRNA from 1 species
AGCAGCCGCCGCGGUAAUACGUAGGGUGCAAGCGUUAAUCGGAAUUACUGGGCGUAAAGCGUGCGCAGGCGGUUAUAUAAGACAGAUGUGAAAUCCCCGGGCUCAACCUGGGAACUGCAUUUGUGACUGUAUAGCUAGAGUACGGCAGAGGGGGAUGGAAUUCCGCGUGUAGCAGUGAAAUGCGUAGAUAUGCGGAGGAACACCGAUGGCGAAGGCAAUCCCCUGGGCCUGUACUGACGCUCAUGCACGAAAGCGUGGGGAGCAAACAGGAUUAGAGACCCCCGUAGUCCCUGUCUCUUAUAA